UAGAGUUUGAUCCUAGCUCAGGAUGAACGCUGGCGGUGUGGAUAAGGCAUGCAAGUCAAACGGCCCAGCACUUACGCAAGUAAGUGCUGGAUAGUGGCAGACGAGGUAGUAAUACGCAGGAACCUACUCCUAAGACGGGAAUAAUUUCGCGAAAGCGGGACUAAUACCCGAUAAUAUCUUCGGAUUAAAUCGAGCAAUCGGCUUAGGAAAGGGCCUGCGGCGUAUCAGCUAGUUGGUAGGGUAAUGGCCUACCAAGGCAUAGACGCGUAGGGGACCUGAGAGGGUGACCCUCACCGAUGGGACUGAGAACGGCCCAUACACCUACGGGUGGCAGUAGCCGAGAAUAUUCGACAAUGGGCGAAAGCCUGAUCGAGCGACACCGCGUGAUGGAUGAAGUCCCUAGGGACGUAAACAUCUUUUGUAGAGGAGAAAGUUUCGAUUGAUAGUACUCUAAGAAUAAGGGGUUGCUAAACUCGUGCCAGCAGCAGCGGUAAUACGAGUGCCCCAAGCGUUAUCCGGAAUCAUUGGGCGUAAAGGGUGUGUAGGCGGUUUCUUUAGUCUUCUGUCAAAAUCCGUGGCUCAACCCCGGACCUGCGGAGGAAACGGAGAGACUCGAGAGUGCGAGAGGUGAAUGGAACUCAUGGAGUAGGGGUGAAAUCCGUUGAUACCAUGGGGAACACCGAAAGCGAAGGCAAUUCACUGGCGCAUUUCUGACGCUGAAACACGAAAGCGUGGGUAGCGAACGGGAUUAGAUACCCCGGUAGUCCACGCCCUAAACGAUGAUCACUAGCUUUUCGGAGUAUCAACCCUCUGAGAGGCGAAGCUAACGCGUUAAGUGAUCCGCCUGGGUAGUACGGCCGCAAGGCUAAAACUCAAAGGAAUAGACGGGGACUUGCACAAGCAGUGGAUUAUGCGGUUUAAUUCGAUGGCAAACGAAAAACCUUACCAGGGUUAGAAGACCAAACGAAUCCGCCGAGAAAUUGGCAGAGUCCGCAAGGACGGUUGGGCAGGUGAUGCAUGGCCGUCGUCAGUUCGUGGCUUGAGUUGAUCCCUUCAGUGGGGAAACGAACGCAACCCCUAUCGUCG
rnacentral:rRNA from 1 species